rnacentral:rRNA from 1 species
CAAUAGCGGAGGAAAAGAAACUAACAAGGAUUCCCCUAGUAACGGCGAGUGAACCGGGAAAAGCUCAAAUUUGAAAUCUGGCGUCCUCAGGGCGUCCGAGUUGUAAUCUAUAGAGGCGUUUUCCGUGCCGGACCGUGUCCAAGUCCCUUGGAACAGGGUAUCAAAGAGGGUGACAAUCCCGUACUUGACACGACUACCGGUGCUCUGUGAUACGUCUUCUACGAGUCGAGUUGUUUGGGAAUGCAGCUCAAAAUGGGUGGUGAGUUCCAUCUAAAGCUAAAUAUUGGCGAGAGACCGAUAGCGAACAAGUACCGUGAGGGAAAGAUGAAAAGCACUUUGGAAAGAGAGUUAAACAGUACGUGAAAUUGUUGAAAGGGAAACGAUUGAAGUCAGUCGUGACCGAGAGGCUCAGCCGGCUCUGCCGGUGUAUUCCCCUCGGUCGGGUCAACAUCAGUUUUGUCCGGUGGAUAAGGGCGGUAGGAAGGUGGCACCCACGGGUGUGUUAUAGCCUGCCGUCGCAUACACUGGGUGAGACUGAGGAAUGCAGCUCGCCUUUAUGGCCGGGGUUCGCCCACCUCCGAGCUUAGGAUGUUGAGAUAAUGGCUUUAA